UUGCCGCCGGAAAUUCCGCUGGAUUUCACUAUUUCCGGCCGGAUGUCCGUAACGCUUUCUUCGUUUUGGUAUUUCAAACUCGGGUGGAUUUAUGAGGACUAUGGUUAACUGCUCUUCAGAUAUCUGCAGGUUAAAUCCAGACAGCUAGCUAGACUAUCUGUCCAAUCUGAGUUUUCAGUUGCACAACUACAUCAACUUUUGAAAGUACCAAAACAUUAAAGAAAUGCCAAUUAACUGUGUGGAGUAGCUAGUAGCCAGACCGUCACGUGGUGGGAUACUGCUGCAAUUUUUUUGCCUUACGUCAAGUAAGCAAACACCAGGAAAACGCAGAGCAGAGCCAGCCCCUGACCUCACGACAGCCGCAGCAGCAACGGGGAAUUCAACGCAAGUUGAGUGUUGGUGCACAGCUUCGACGAAGGCGCCCACGCUCUCCGGGUCCAUGUCGGGGUAAAGGCCGUGGCCGAGGUUGGCGAUGUAGCCCCUCGUGCCAAAACCCUCCAACAUCUUCUUCACGAUGUCUGAAAUGCGCUCCUGAUAGAGAGGAGGGGAGAGAAGGAGAGAUGAUGUAAAAAGAUACUCCACGAUCAAAUCGGUCAGCAUCCUCAGCAGCAUGUGGCUGGCCUCAGGGUGUCUGUAGAGCCACCGCUUCGCCUUAGAGAAGGUCCUGGAGCCUCCGCCUUCAAUCAUGUAGGACAUGAGGGUCCACUGUGGAUGGACACAGCAAAAGAGGGGAAAGUAAAAAAAGAAAAAUCACAUUUUAUUUAAUUUACUUUUGUUUUCAUGCUUUUCUAUUCAUCUUUAAAUGUGUGAGUAUCAUCUCUAACCGGAGCUCCAGUGAAUCCUAUGAGUGGCACUUUGCCCUCGAGCUUGUGUCUGGUCAGUGUGAUGGCUUUGAAGACGUAGCCCAGCUCUUUGUCCACGUCCACUUUGGCCUGCAGACGCUGCAGAUCUUCUGGCUCCUUCAAGGGCUCCGGGAAUGUAGGACCUUUACCUGCCACCAUCUGGACAUCCAUACCCAUGGCCUGGAGGGAGGAAAAAAAAAAUGAAUGAAAGAAUUUCUUUCUUGAGAGACGGCUGCAAUUUGAUAUAGAUAGAGAGACGGAGAGUGAGUGCCCCAAAAACUACCAAACCCCGUCAUAUAUUACUAAUACAUUUUAUGCUACAUGUUUGUAUAUGGCUUUUGAACUUGGAAAAUGUAAUUUUUUUUUAAUGUCAAAUUGUCUUUAAUUACCAGGUAAGCUAACUGCCUAUAUGCACACAACAAAAUGCUAAUUAAGGUGCAUUAAUAUUGUUUGGCCACUAGGGGACAGAAGAAAAAAACAUCAAUACAAGCUGAUAGAUACACAACUACCACAUAUCACUGGCUAAUAAAGUAGUUAUGGCUAACUUGAUAGCAAACCGUUGCCCGGAGCAACAUUACUGUCACAUUGAACUUUUGUUUUUGCCCGUCUGAUGACGGUGGGUCAACUAUUCACUUCCCUUUAAGCUCUGGUACAUUUGUGGGCCGUAAAACUGGAACAAUAAACUAAAAGAGGCAAACACCUUUACAAUUACACAGCAAUUUGAUUCAAUGUUAUUAUGCUACUUCCACUUCUCCAAAGAUAUUACAUAAAAAUAUGUAUUGUCUUUAGGUUGAUUGCUUGUUGUCGUUUACCUGUGGGAUAACCAGGAUGUCAGAGAAGAUGAUGGCAGCGUCGAAGGGAAAACGCCUCAGAGGCUGAAAGUGAAAAAAGUUAGACAUUUAAAAAAGAAAAGGGAUAACGUAAAAAUAACAAGGUGGUUGUGAUUUUUGUUUACUGUCUUGCGUAGUGUCUUGGGCAUAGGUGGUAAGAUAUUUUAUUAACACGCCAUCAUCUCAACCCAAUAUAACACUACUUAUGUACUACUGUACUAUUACUAAGUAUAUUAAAAGUGAAUUAAUGUAUUACAUUUAUUUCCAGUGGUUGUUUGCAUGUUGGAGCUUCUUCUUUCAAGCUGGUGUUAAGUAACAAAAAUGCAUUGUGGCAAAUGGCAUCAAAAUUAGUCAACUGAUGGAAAUGUGAUCUUUUAGACAAAAUAAAACAUAAGUAAACUCACAUUAUGAUAUGAGUUGUACCGGAUUGUUGUGGUUUGCAGAA